rnacentral:lncRNA from 1 species
AUGAGAGGGACUGGAUGUUUGGAGGGGGACACGGGGCUGGACAUCUGGAUCCCCAAACCCGGACUCACCUCUCGGACAGGGCUGAUUCCGAUCGGACACUUCCGGUGGAAGGACUGAGCGGCGCUACACUUCAAGAAUUCCGUCCACAGGGACUUGUGAGUCUGCGCAGAAGGCGGGAUGCCUUUGGACUACAAUUCCAAGAAUCCUUCCUGGGUCUCUUCGGGCGCAGACUUUUCGCCAAAGUCCUGAAGAUCUCAGGGCUUGAAGGAGGGGGCAUCUUUUUUCUCCAUUGUAGUAGUGUGUCUUGCUAAAUAACAGAAGGGACUCCUGAAAAGAAAAUGACGUUGGCCGGGCGCGGUGGCUCACGCCUGCAGUCCCAGCACUUUGGGAGGCCGAGACGGGCGGAUCACGAGGUGGUGAAAUUGAAGCCCACGCAGCAGGGUUGCAACUGAAACUUCAUCUCCUCUGCAAAACCUUCCUGCAUUCCCAGACAACUUUUCUUCUGAGGCCUUGUUUGAUUCAUCCCCUUACCCCAGUGGAACUCAGAUAUUCAAAAUGGUAUUAAUUAAAACCACUGGCUGUCAUUGGUCCAUGCAUGGCCUUAAAGUGUGAACAUUUUUUAAUCCAUUACCUAGUCUAUAAGAACUGUAGAUUGACAACAACUUAGAUUUAAUACUACUCUUUUUCUAGUCCCUCUCUAUACUACCUCUCAUCCGAGGAAACACUAUCACAAAUUUUGUAUUUGUUGUUCCCUUGCUUUUUAACAAGAUGAUUCUAUUAGAUAUGUACUGUUUUGUCCCCCAAAAGUGGUGGCAGGGGAGUUCACACAAGGGAGUGCCCAAAACCGUCCUAGUUGGGGCUGGUUGGGAUUCCAAAGAAAGGAGCACUAUGUGCCAAGGUGAUCUGUCCAAAGCAUUUAUUAAGGGAACUUACAUAGUGUUGCAGGAAUCCUCCCCAUGGGUGGUGAGAGAAAAGGGACAUUCUACCUAGAUAUGUCUGCAGUGAGGGGGUCAGGGUAUGGAGUUUAUAUAAGGGUUUAAAGAAUUUGGCUCAGGGCCAGAGCUAGUUUCUUUCACUGUUUUCAGUGACAACUUAGAUACCUUUAUCAGUGCCUGGGAAUGUUCAAGACCCAAGUUUGGGUUCAAGCAUGCUGGGAAAAAAUCUGCAGCUGGCUAGGUCACAGAGAGGUCAAGGCACUCUGAUUUUCAGUCACAGAAUAGUCAAGGCUCUGUGAUUUCCAGUCAGAGAUCCUGCAAUCCAUUUUCCUGACUGGCUCUUACAAUCUCACAUGCCCAUCUCUUCCUAUAUGUUCCCUGAGCUGGUCAGAAAGGGUGGGAUCAUCGGCAAUUUCUUUCCCCUGGCUUUAUGAAACACUGCAAACAAAACCUACACUAACAGUAAAUACAAGUGCACCUGACAAAAUCUAAAAUCACAUUUUCCAAAAGGCUUCCUAGCAGAGCUUUCCACCAAGGACCCCAUCCUGGAAAACAUGACUUUGUGUAGACCACCAGGCAUACCCUAUGUGGUCAGUAAGCUGUAAUUGCUUUCGUGAGUGAAGGACGGAUUGAUUAACUUCAGCUUCUUUGUCUAGAAUAUACACACAAUGUUCACUUUUGUAAAGGGCACAGGUUCCCCCUUGCACAGAUGUCAGCAUCUCUAGGGCCAUUUGGUUUUGUAGACCACUUUUUUCACUGCAGCUGUUUCAAUGUUCAAGGCCUCCAUACCAUGUUUGGUGUUGUUCAAAGCUGUGGAGACAAAUCUCUGAAGGGCUUCCAGCUUCUACACAGUAUCAGAAGAACCUCCUGGAGGCACAAAUAUAGUCAAUAAGUAAUCCCACCAAGAAAAAACAGGUCUACUCCACUGACCUCUCCAGAUGGACUCAUUGAGGGAUACAGGAAUGGUGCCAGAGAUUCUGGAGUCAUCCAAGCCACCCCAGGGGAAGCCAGGGCUGGAG